ensembl:lncRNA
UAUUUAUUGGGAAAGCAAAUGGGAUUAUUGGAAAACAGGGGGAUAAUGGGAGGUCUGUAUGGGGUAAGGAAGAGUUAAGGGGAGAGAGGGUAUAUUGCCUGGUGAGGCAAGGGAGGGAGAUGCCCCCUGCUGAGAGGAAACAGCAGGGGUCCAAUAAGGAUGAUUUGUCUUUGAAUGACUGAAACUGAAGUUCAGUUUCCUCUAUGACUAGAAAAGAUAGUCCACUUAUCUGACUGCGAAUUCAAAUAAUAUAAAGUUUAAUAAUCCAGUUGGAAUUGGAGUUUUUCCUUAGCUUCAGAGUAUAGGGCCAGGCCCUAGAGGCUGGCGGAGGGUUUGUCCCACUCCUUCUACUCUCGUUGUUCUAAUUCAGAAUCUUAGCAGUACACAGAAAGCAAACAAGAACAAUUCUAACCUUUAAAAGCCUGUGUCUUUGGGCUGAAACAAGAAGAGCAUGCCUCUCCAGACUGGGCUUAACAAGCUCCUCUCUCCUCCAAUACCCAGAAGCAAGUCCCACACGACAGGAAGGAAGUGCUAGUCACAAGACCCAACUGCCACACCCAGCAGGAAGGAAGUGCUAGUCACAAGAGCCAACUGCCACUCCCAGUAGGGCCCUUCCCCCACAAACUGUCAGUCUUGUUUCCUUUCCACAAGCAUGUGUCGCCAAUAAUCUAAAAAUGAUAUUUGUAUGUUUAUGCUGAAUGUUGGAGGGCAUAAAGCCUCAUCCCUGCAUUAUUUCCCGAAAGCAAAAAUAACCUCAUCUGCAAGAAAAUAACAUGCUACUGGGUGAUACAAAAUGUGAAGAGACAAGUAAAUACCACAAAAUUUGUGAAGGGAGAGGACGUUUACAAUUCGGAAGAUCCGGAAAGACUUCUAGCAACAGGUGGCACAUGAACCAAAUUCUGAAGGAAGUUAUUCUAAAUGAAGGAGAUGAGUCAAGAAAGAAACAAGGAGACUAAGAGAAUUGGCCAGGUUCACACAGCUAGAAAGUAUCUAAGGUGGGAUUUGAAAUCUGUUAUUUCUGAUUCUGAAGUCAUUUCCUUUUCCACAAAGCUAAACUGAUCCCAUUAUUCCUAAGAUAUUUGCUAUCUUUCAAUCCUAGGAUACUUUGUUAUUGUUGUGGUAGUUGUGUCAUUGUUCGAUCUUUUCUGAUUGGUUGUGAUUGUUGCAAUCUUUUCUGAUUGUGACCCCAUUUAGGAUUUUCUUGCCAAAGAUGCUGGAUUGGUUUGUCUUUUCCUUCUCCAGCUCAUUUUACAGAGGAGGAAUUGAGGCAAAGGGGGUCCAAAGCUGGUAAGUGUCUGACAUCAAAUUUGAAUUCAUUAAGAUGUCUUCCUGAUUCCAAAUCCAGUACUUAAUCCAUGGAGCCAACUAGAUGCCCUAAAAUAGAUUAGAGCUAGAUUGUCAAUUUGUUGGUCUUCAACAUCUCAUUUUAAUGUCCCCAUUUGGAAUUUCCUUGGGAAAAAUCCUGCAUAAUUUGCCAUUUCCUUCCCUAGCUCAUUUUACAGAUGAGGAUACUAAGGCAAACACAUAAACUAUCUUGCUCAGGAUCUCAGAGCUAGUAAGUAUUUGAGUCUGGAUUUGAACUCAGAUCUUCCUGACUCCAGGCCUGAUGUUAGAUCCACUGCACCACCUAAUUGCCCUUUCUCUAAACUUCCAAAGAAUCCAAGUUGCUACAAUUUAUGGAUCUUAAUAUCUAAGAUGCUCCCUCAGAUUGAACAUUAUCCACAUUUCCAGGCUUCUGUUGCACUCCUUCCCUGCAUAAAUAUGAUGUUCAAGUUCCUCAUCUAAUAGAUAAAAUUUAUCCUUUUCACUGUGUUCCUUUCCUUUUAAGUGGCUUGUCAAUUUUCCAAGCAAUAGGCUCAAAACCUUGG